UCCUGGUGGCUCAGAUGGUAAAGAAUCUGCCUGCAAUGCAGGAGACCCAGGUUCAAUCCCUGGUUUAGGAA
rnacentral:tRNA from 1 species